UAACGAAUAUUCCGCAAUGGGCGAAAGCCUGACGGAGCGACGCCGCGUGGAGGACGAAUUCCUUCGGGAUGUAAACUCCUUUUGGGGUGACGAAAACAAGGGGCGCUAAUACCGUCUCGAGUUGAUUGAUCCCAGAAUAAGCCUGGGCUAAUUCCGUGCCAGCAGCCGCGGUAAGACGGAACAGGCAAGCGUUGUUCGGAAUCACUGGGCUUAAAGCGCGUGUAGGCGGCUUGGUAAGUACCUUGUGAAAGCCCCCGUCUCAACCGGGGAACCGCUGGGUAUACUGCCAGGCUUGAGGCUGGUAGGGGUGCCUGGAACUCUAGGUGGAGCGGUGAAAUGCGUAGAUAUCUAGAGGAACGCCUGUGGCGAAAGCGGGGCACUGGGCCAGACCUGACGCUGAGGCGCGAAAGCGUGGGUAGCAAACG
rnacentral:rRNA from 1 species